rnacentral:rRNA from 1 species
ACAUGUAGGUAUCUGCCCUUUGGCCUGGAAUAACACGAGGAAACUUGUGCUAAUACCGGAUAAGUCUUUACGGAGAAAGCUUUAUGCACCAUUGGAUGAGCCUGCACUUGAUUAGUUUGUUGGUGGGGUAAUGGCCUACCAAGACUGUGAUCAAUAGCUGAUUUGAGAGGAUGAUCAGCCACAUUGGGACUGAGACACGGCCCAAACUCCUACGGGAGGCAGCAGUGGGGAAUCUUGCACAAUGGAGGAAACUCUGAUGCAGCGAUGCCGCGUGAGUGAAGAAGGCCCUAGGGUUGUAAAGCUCUUUCGUCGGGGAAGAAAAUGACUGUACCCGAAUAAGAAG